rnacentral:rRNA from 1 species
CUUUCUUUGCUGGCGACCGGCGCACGGGUGAGUAACAGGUAUCCAACCUGCCCUUUACUCGGGGAUAGCCUUUCGAAAGAAAGAUUAAUACCCGAUAGUAUAAUGAUUCCGCAUGGUUUCAUUAUUAAAGGAUUCCGGUAAAGGAUGGGGAUGCGUUCCAUUAGGUUGUUGGUGAGGUAACGGCUCACCAAGCCUUCGAUGGAUAGGGGUUCUGAGAGGAAGGUCCCCCACAUUGGAACUGAGACACGGUCCAA